rnacentral:lncRNA from 1 species
AAUAUCUUUUUUUUUUUAUUUUAAUUGAUUUUGUGUUUAUUAUGUUUUUUUUUUAAUUUGUAUCGACGGUUUUAAUACAUUGAGGCGAAUUUUUAUCAAGUAUUCGCAAAACUCAAAUAGAAUAAAUCGUCGAAAAAAAAUCCCUUGAUGUUUUGAACGGUUGAGAUUUUAGUUCGUGAGAGGUGAAAUUUCCUGUUGAAGAUGUCUAGGGGCUUGUCAUAUCCUAUCGCCUUGAGGGAGCGGAAAUUCUGCGAUUACCUUGUGGGACUGGCCAUGAGAAUAACAUUUUAUUUUUUUUAGUUUUUUAACCUUUUUAGUUUCAAUUUUAUUUUAUUUUUUGACUAAAAUUCCCGGAUGGUCGUGGUUUUGUAUAGCAACAGUCCCCAACAUUUAGAAAUUACAGUGGUUACUAGGGUUUACUUUUUUUAUUUCCAAAAGUUGGGGUCUGUAGAUGUUACUUUACAAAACCGCUAGGACUAUCCGAAUAUUUCCUGUGGAUUUUUACAACGUGUGCAGAAACAGGCGUUAAAGGGAUUUGAAUAGAUUCAGCAACGGGAUGGCUUUUUUGAUCUAAAAGAGCAAACUAAGGGAGGGUUGAUUUAGCAGUUUUGUUUUGUUUGGAAAAUGGGUUAGUUUAGCUUUUUGGAUAUCUUUCAGAAAUGCUAAUUAUGGGUUGUAAAACGAGAAUGUUUGUUUUCUGUUUUUGCUUUUAUUAACUACUUAAUUAAUUAAUUGUUAAAGAUGUUUAUACGUUUGACCACUAUCAAUAAACAUUUUUUUUACAUACUUUGGAGCACGAUUUGAUAUAACAUGUUUCGAUAACUUGAUUGGCACAUCACAUAACCCCACUCAACUGUGUUGCUUGCUUAACAUCAUAACAUAUAAAAAUCACAGAAGAUUGGGUUCGAAACGGAUUAAUACUUGGUUGUUAAAUUGUGUUUCAAAACGGUAACAAAAUUAGACCAUAUCGUGUAAGCGUGGAAUCCACGCCGGAAAUACCACCCUGCAUAUGGUGUGGAAGUGACGUUGUCGGUUUGGUAGUCCUAUAGUUCUCGGAUUAGUGGUGGUGAGGUAGCCAUUUUAAAAAAGGUUUCACAUAACUGUGCCAUUCUGUAAUAAGUCAACGUAUCAUACCUUGACCGUCUCACCAAGGGCGAGAGGGGCGGCAGACAUCUGAACUUUUCGCUCAGUAGGAGAGAGUAUGUAGUUUUUGUAUAGAAAUUUUUGGGUGUGUAUACAUUUUCGACCCCCUGAUUUUAUAGAAAUUUUUUGGUAUAUACGUUUUUGACCCCCCUGUUUGUCUGAAAUCUCAAGCUUUGUCACUGCGUCUCACAUUUUAUUAAACGUAGUAUGCGACAGGGUGCUCCAAGUGUACGCAUUAAAUGAUAACUAGCUUUGAGUUGGAGGAGAAUAGGGCUGUCCAAAAAGCUCGCAGCUCGGAGCUCGCUCGGAUUUAGCUCGGAAAAAGCUCGCUCGAUAUGGCUCGGUUUGAAAGUGAGCCGAGCCAGCUCGGCUCGGUUAGAAAGUGAGCCAGCUCGGCUCAGCUCGUAGCGAACCGAGUAGGCUCGGUUUGGCUCGCUUGGUAGCUCAACUCGGCUUAUAUCGGAUUAUUUUCUUCAUAAUAUAUACAUUAUAUAUUACAAAAAAACUUGUUAUUAUUUAUAUAUAUUCAGGCUUGUAAUUUGAUAUCCAUGACAUAUUUGAAUCUUAAUUACCUUGCUAAAGAACUAAUAUUGUUUCACUGAAAUUGUAAAACUUAUUUUCCGUUGUUAAACAUGAUUUUAACUUGUAAUGUAUUAGGAUAAAGUUAUUUUGAAUAUGUUUUUUGAAGUAUUGAAUAAUAUUUUAGGCUAUUGAAUUUUGAGAGUUAUAUAUUAUAUUUUUCUCUAUAAAAUCGAGCCAAACCAAGCCGAGCCGAGCCAGCUCGGUUUAAAACCAAGCCGAGCCCGAGCCUAGAUUUUCAGCUCGGUUUCAAAUCCGAGCCGAGCCGAGCCAGCUCGGUUUAUAAUCGAGCCGAGCCCGAGCUUACCCUGGCUAGGCUCGGCUCGGCUCAUGAACAGCCCUAGAGGAGAAUCUCCCUUUGGGGGAUGAAGCCAAACGUUCUAAUCUUUUGCACUACCUGUAUAGAUUAUAGAAUACCACAAUUAUUUUUGCGUUGAAGAUUGAUCAUGCAACCUGGCCCUCAUAACACUACUCUUAAAUUAAACCAAAUUUUAUCUCAUGCCAGGAAUUGAACCAUGGUCUCUCCCUGACUGUUGAGAUUGAGUUCGAAAUCAAACACACUUAAUACUCCAGUGGAUCCUUUCCAUAAUGCUAGGCUGUUACAAAACUAUGGACUAAAGUAAUUUACUUAAGUGAAGUCAUGAGAUCGUCAGUAAGGAUCUUGAAUUUGAAUAAUGCUAGGUUUUGAGUUUCCAAAAUAGUUUGACCCGACCCAAACUGAAAAAUAUGUAAUCAAGU